GUGGGGAAUAUUGGACAAUGGGCGCAAGCCUGACCCAGCCACGCCGCGUGAGUGAUGAAGGCCUUCGGGUUGUAAAGCUCUGUGGGGAGGGAAGAAAAAGCGCAGGAGUAACUGCCUGUGUGUUGACGGUACCUCCUUAGCAAGCACCGGCUAACUCUGUGCCAGCAGCCGCGGUAAUACAGAGGGUGCAAACGUUGCUCGGAAUUACUGGGCGUAAAGCGCGUGUAGGCUGACAUGCAAGUCGGGUGUGAAAUCCCAGGGCUCAACCUUGGAACUGCACUCGAAACUGCACGUCUUGAGUACUGGAGAGGGAAGCGGAACUCCGGGUGUAGAGGUGAAAUUCGUAGAUAUCCGGAGGAACACCAGUGGCGAAGGCGGCUUCCUGGACAGUAACUGACGCUGAGACGCGAAAGCGUGGGGAGCAAACAGGAUUAGAAACCCCUGUAGUCC
rnacentral:rRNA from 1 species